AAAUUGAAGAGUUUGAUCAUGGCUCAGAUUGAACGCUGGCGGCAGGCCUAACACAUGCAAGUCGAGCGGUAGCACAGAGAGCUUGCUCUCGGGUGACGAGCGGCGGACGGGUGAGUAAUGUCUGGGAAACUGCCUGAUGGAGGGGGAUAACUACUGGAAACGGUAGCUAAUACCGCAUAAUGUCGCAAGACCAAAGUGGGGGACCUUCGGGCCUCAUGCCAUCAGAUGUGCCCAGAUGGGAUUAGCUAGUAGGUGGGGUAACGGCUCACCUAGGCGACGAUCCCUAGCUGGUCUGAGAGGAUGACCAGCCACACUGGAACUGAGACACGGUCCAGACUCCUACGGGAGGCAGCAGUGGGGAAUAUUGCACAAUGGGCGCAAGCCUGAUGCAGCCAUGCCGCGUGUGUGAAGAAGGCCUUCGGGUUGUAAAGCACUUUCAGCGGGGAGGAAGGCGAUAAGGUUAAUAACCUUGUCGAUUGACGUUACCCGCAGAAGAAGCACCGGCUAACUCCGUGCCAGCAGCCGCGGUAAUACGGAGGGUGCAAGCGUUAAUCGGAAUUACUGGGCGUAAAGCGCACGCAGGCGGUCUGUCAAGUCGGAUGUGAAAUCCCCGGGCUCAACCUGGGAACUGCAUUCGAAACUGGCAGGCUAGAGUCUUGUAGAGGGGGGUAGAAUUCCAGGUGUAGCGGUGAAAUGCGUAGAGAUCUGGAGGAAUACCGGUGGCGAAGGCGGCCCCCUGGACAAAGACUGACGCUCAGGUGCGAAAGCGUGGGGAGCAAACAGGAUUAGAUACCCUGGUAGUCCACGCCGUAAACGAUGUCGAUUUGGAGGUUGUGCCCUUGAGGCGUGGCUUCCGGAGCUAACGCGUUAAAUCGACCGCCUGGGGAGUACGGCCGCAAGGUUAAAACUCAAAUGAAUUGACGGGGGCCCGCACAAGCGGUGGAGCAUGUGGUUUAAUUCGAUGCAACGCGAAGAACCUUACCUGGUCUUGACAUCCACAGAACUUUCCAGAGAUGGAUUGGUGCCUUCGGGAACUGUGAGACAGGUGCUGCAUGGCUGUCGUCAGCUCGUGUUGUGAAAUGUUGGGUUAAGUCCCGCAACGAGCGCAACCCUUAUCCUUUGUUGCCAGCGGUC
rnacentral:rRNA from 1 species